UGUGUGUGUGUGUGUGUGUGUGUGUGUGUGCGCGCGCACCCACCCACACACACACACACACACACU
rnacentral:miRNA from 1 species